UCGCUUGAUUCGGAAUUCUUUUCCCAGG
rnacentral:sRNA from 1 species